rnacentral:rRNA from 1 species
CCUACGGGCGGCAGCAGUGAGGAAUAUUGGUCAAUGGGCGGAAGCCUGAACCAGCCAAGUCGCGUGAGGGAUUAAGGCCCUAUGGGUCGUAAACCUCUUUUGUCAGGGAGCAAUGGCGUCCACGUGUGGGCGUAUGGAGAGUACCUGAAGAAAAAGCAUCGGCUAACUCCGUGCCAGCAGCCGCGGUAAUACGGAGGAUGCGAGCGUUAUCCGGAUUUAUUGGGUUUAAAGGGUGCGUAGGUUGUUUUUUAAGUCAGCGGUGAAAGUUUGUGGCUCAACCAUAAAAUUGCCGUUGAAACUGGAAGACUUGAGUGUGUUUGAGGUAGGCGGAAUGCGUGGUGUAGCGGUGAAAUGCAUAGAUAUCACGCAGAACUCCGAUUGCGAAGGCAGCUUACUAAGCCAUAACUGACACUGAAGCACGAAAGCGUGGGGAUCAAACAGGAUUAGAUACCCGAGUAGUC